rnacentral:rRNA from 1 species
UACGUAGGGUGCGAGCGUUAAUCGGAAUUACUGGGCGUAAAGCGUGCGUAGGUGGUUGUUUAAGUCUGUUGUGAAAACCCUGGGCUCAACCUGGGAACUGCAGUGGAAACUGGACAACUAGAGUGUGGUAGAGGGUAGCGGAAUUCCCGGUGUAGCAGUGAAAUGCGUAGAGAUCGGGAGGAACAUCCAUGGCGAAGGCAGCUCGCUGGGACGGUACUGACGCUGAGACGCGAAAGCGUGGGGAGCAAACAGG